UUGACCUCAAAUCAGGUAGGACUACCCGCUGAACUUAAGCAUAUCAAUAAGCGGAGGAAAAGAAACUAACAAGGAUUCCCCUAGUAACUGCGAGUGAAGCGGGAAAAGCUCAAAUUUGAAAUCUGGCGGUUCUUGACCGUCCGAGUUGUAAUCUAGAGAAGUGUUACCUGUGCUGGACCGUGUACAAGUCUUCUGGAAUGGAGCAUCAUAGAGGGUGAGAAUCCCGUCUUUGACACGGACUACCUGUACAUUGUGGUGCGCUCUCGAAGAGUCGAGUUGUUUGGGAAUGCAGCUCAAAAUGGGUGGUAAAUGCCAUCUAAAGCUAAAUAUUGGCGAGAGACCGAUAGCGAACAAGUACCGUGAGGGAAAGAUGAAAAGAACUUUGGAAAGAGAGUUAAACAGUACGUGAAAUUGCUGAAAGGGAAACGCUUGAAGUCAGUCGCGUCGGCUAGAAAUCAACCUUGCUUUUGCUUGGUGUAUUUUCUGGUCUUUGACGGGUCAGCAUCAAUUUUGACCGCUGGAUAAAGUCUUUGGGAAUGUGGCAUCUUAGGAUGUGUUAUAGCCCAUUGUCGCAUACUGCGGUUGGGAUUGAGGAACUCAGCACGCCGCAAGGCCAGGUUUCGACCAUGUUUUGUGCUUAGGAUGCUGGCAUAAUGGCUUUAAUCGACC
rnacentral:rRNA from 1 species